rnacentral:rRNA from 1 species
AACGAACGCUGGCGGCGUGCCUAACACAUGCAAGUCGAACGGAAUUGAGGGGCUUGCUCUUCAAUUUAGUGGCGCACGGGUGAGUAACGCGUGGAUAAUCUGCCUGACGAUCUGGGAUAACAUCUCGAAAGGGGUGCUAAUACCGGAUAAGCCCACGGGAACUUCGGUUUUUGCGGGAAAAGGGGGGGACCUUUUGGCCUUCUGUCGUCAGAUGAGUCCGCGUACCAUUAGCUAGUUGGUAGGGUAAAGGCCUACCAAGGCUACGAUGGUUAGCUGGUUUGAGAGAAUGAUCAGACACACUGGAACUGAGACACGGUCCAGACUCCUACGGGAGGCAGCAGUGGGGAAUUUUGCGCAAUGGGCGAAAGCCUGACGCAGCAACGCCGCGUGAGUGAUGAAGGCUUUCGGGUCGUAAAGCUCUGUCAGAGGGAAAGAAGUGUAUUGUGGCUAAUAUCCGCGAUACUUGACGGUACCCUCAAAGGAAGCACCGGCUAACUCCGUGCCAGCAGCCGCGGUAA